GCUGUCGUCAGCUCGUGUCGUGAGGUGUUUGGUUAAUUCCCUUAACGAGCGAAACUCUUUCUGUAUGUUGGUACUUAUUUAUCUUAACUCUAUAAAUAAUACUACUUAUACGGGACUGCUAAUGAUAAAUUAGAGGAAGGUGAGAACUACGUCAAGCCUUUAUGGCCCUUAUGAACUGGGCUACACACGUGCUACAAUGGUAAUUACAAUGAGUUCUACAAUAAAGUAAUUUAAAGUAAAUCUUUAAAAAUUGCCGUGUUCGGAUUGUAGACUGCAAUUCGUCUACAUGAAGGUGGAAUCACAAGUAAUCGUAAAUCAGCAUGUUACGGUGAAUUUGUACUUAGACCUUGCACACACCGCCCGUCACAUGCUGGGAGUAGGUUUUGUUUGAAAUUGCUUUAGAGUGUAAAAGCGAGGGUUUUUUUAGUAAUAUUUAAUCUUUGUUUAUAUAUUUUAAAGCACUUAUUAUAGAGCUUGUAACCGGGAUGAAGUCGUAACAAGGUAGUCGUACGGGAACGUGUGGCUGGAAUA
rnacentral:rRNA from 1 species